AGCCCAGUAGUUUAGGGGUAGAACGUGGAGCUUCUAUACUUCGGUGACUCCAAGGCCAGAGUUCGAUUCUCUGCUGGGCUA
rfam:Pseudocercospora fijiensis CIRAD86 unplaced genomic scaffold MYCFIscaffold_9, whole genome shotgun sequence.